rnacentral:tRNA from 1 species
GGUUCCGUGGUGUAACGGUUAGCACCUGGGUCUUUCAAGCCCAAGGUCAGGGUUCAACUCCCUGCGGAACUG